UACGUAGGGUGCAAGCGUUGUCCGGAAUUAUUGGGCGUAGAGAGCUCGUAGGCGGUCUGUCGCGUCUGCUGUGAAAACUCGGGGCUUAACCCCGGGCCUGCAGUGGGUACGGGCAGACUAGAGUGCGGUAGGGGAGACUGGAAUUCCUGGUGUAGCGGUGAAAUGCGCAGAUAUCAGGAGGAACACCGGUGGCGAAGGCGGGUCUCUGGGCCGUAACUGACGCUGAGGAGCGAAAGCGUGGGGAGCGAACAGG
rnacentral:rRNA from 1 species